ensembl:misc_RNA Metazoa_SRP Metazoan signal recognition particle RNA
GCCGAGCACAGUGGCUUGUGCCUGUAGUCCCAGCUAUUCAGGAGGCUGAGGCUGGAGGAUCUGUUGAGUCCAAGAGUUCUGGGCUGUAGUACACUAUACUGAUCGGGUGUCUGCACUAAGUUCGGCAUCACCUCCUGGGAGCAGGGGACCACCAGGUUGCCUAAGGAGGAGUGAACCGGCCCAGGUCGGAAACAGAGCGGGUCAAAAUUCCCGUGCUGAUGAGUAGUGGGAUCGCGCCUGUGAAUAGCCACUGCACUCCAGCCUGGGCAACAUAGCGAGACCCUGUCUCUU